rnacentral:rRNA from 1 species
AGUCAAGUAAUUAAGUGCAUGUGGUGGAUGCCUUGGCAGUCAGAGGCGAUGAAAGACGUGAUAGCCUGCGAAAAGCUCCGGGGAGGCGGCAAAUAUCCUUUGAUCCGGAGAUUUCUGAAUGGGGGAACCCACCUACUUUAAGGUAGGUAUUGCAACAUGAAUACAUAGUGUUGCAAGGCGAACGAGGGGAAGUGAAACAUCUCAGUACCCUUAGGAAAAGAAAUCAAUUGAGAUUCCCUCAGUAGCGGCGAGCGAACGGGGAUCAGCCCAUUAAGUUAUGUGUGUUUUAGUGGAACGCUCUGGGAAGUGCGAACGUAGAGGGUGAUAUUCCCGUACACGAAAGGGCACACAUAAUGAUGACGAGUAGGGCGAGGCACGUGAAACCUUGUCUGAAUAUGGGGGGACCAUCCUCCAAGGCUAAAUACUCCUGACUGACCGAUAGUGAACCAGUACCGUGAGGGAAAGGCGAAAAGAACCCCUGUGAGGGGAGUGAAAUAGAUCCUGAAACCGCAUGCAUACAAGCAGUGGGAGC